AUUGAACGCUGGCGGCAGGCCUAACACAUGCAAGUCGAGCGAGCGGCGGACGGGUGAGUAAUGUAUGGGGACUGCCCGAUAGAGGGGGAUAACUGCUGGAAACGGUUGCUAAUACCGCAUACUGUCCGCUCACCAAUAUGGGAUUAGCUAGUUGGUAAGGUAAUGGCUUAUCUAGGCGCCGAUCCCUAGCUGGUCUGAGCGGAUGAUCAGCCGCACUGGGACUGAGAAACGGCCCAGACUCCUACGGAGGCAGCAGUGGGGAAUAUUGCACAAUGGGGGCAAGUCUGAUGCAGCCAUGCCGCGUGUCUGAAGAAGGCCUUAGGGUUGUAAAGUACUUUCAGUCGGGAAGCGUUACCGACAGAAGAAGCAACGGCUAACUCCGUGCCAGCAGCCGCGGUAAUUC
rnacentral:rRNA from 1 species